UGAUUUUCUCAAAUUAGAUUUUGAAGAUUCUAUUUUAUUAUUUUUUCUUGAUUUUUUUUAUUUUUAUGAUUUUUAGCAUAUAUCUUUUUUUGUUAUAGUAUUUUGAUUUUUCUAUAUAAAAACUUGUAAACCUUUUAGAGAGAUAAACUCUGCCAGAUUAAUAUUUCAUAAAUAAAAAUAAUAUUUUAAGGUUAUGUUUUUGUGUUUUAACUCUAUUUCAACCUAUUUUAUAUAUUUCUAUGGUCGUUUUUGUUCUUGUGGUGCUCCCAUCUGGAUCGUAGAUUUCCUGCUAUUUGUAUCUCGGGCUUCACUUAAUCAAGUUACUGCAGUAGUUGGAGGAUAGAUGGAAGUUGAUAAGCAUGCACCUCUUUGCAUGCAAUUUUUUCUGUGAGCACCUUUUAACUUCUGGAUUAGAACAUCUCUUUUUGUCUCCUCAGCUACAAUCUUUACCAGCUUUAUUUCUCUCAAAAUAAUUUAUGCUAACUUAUUUGUAUCGAGUCUAUAAACUCAUUUUAAAGCACUUAGGUUGAGGAGAAAGGAGGAAUUUUUUUGGGGAUGGUAAGGACGCUACAGAGAACUUUUCAUAGGAUCGAUCAGGUACGUAGUUUAAAUCUUUCAAGCGUUGCAUUGUUUCUCAUGCCAACCAUUUUACGGUUCAUAAUAAAUUAAUGUGCUUCUCGCAUACCUCUCUUUUUAAUUCUAACCUAACACUCCUUCGAAUUUAAUUUUCACGUCGAAUUUAUAAUCUUCCAAGUACAUGAAUGGUACAGCGUGAUCGAUCUUAAUUAUCAAGAAGUUUCAUUAAAGGUUUGAUUCUUGUUUGCAUAGUUUGGUUUACGCUGUUCAAGCUUGAUGGCUCUUACCUAUCCACCGGGACGAAUUUAUGAUAGGUCAGCUUGUGUUAUAAUUCUCAUUCUGGUAUUUUCGCUGAGAAGGUCUGAGAUUGUGCUAAUGUUCACCAUGAUUUACAUUUUACUUAACCUGCAUUGCAUGAGAGACUGAAGUUGACAUAAAUGUCCAAAAUUAGUCAAUUCCUUGGUUUUGAAAAGCUGUGCAUAUUAGUUAUAGGCACUGUUUUGAAGAACUUGGUUUUAGGCCAUGCCUUCAUGAAGGCUCGCUGGAUUUUAGUGACGGGUGAAGGGCACCUCUUAGAAAUUUGGAUAUGUUGGGAAUUCAAUGGGAAUUCAUUAAUUUUCUGCAUGGUUCAAUAUACGUUGUUGCAUGUUUACACACACACACACACACACACACACACACACACACAUAUAUAUAUAUAUAUAUAUAUAUAUAUAUAUAUAUAUUUUUUUUUUUCUUUUGGUAAUAAGCCAUUUAUCUUCAUCAUGUUUGGAUCAUAUAGCUGAGAAGGUAAGAAAGCUACAUUUCAUGAGUUUCACAAGUCUACCUUUCCAUAUGAACUGUGAACGUUUCUUUUUCUUUGUGGCAACUUGAUGUUGACAGUUAUGGACCUAGAAGACAAAUUUAUGAGCGAGCAUUAUUUGCACCUACAUUUAAAGUUGAAGGGAAUUAAAUUCGGGGGAUUUAGUGGAGUAUUGAUGAGCUGGAGCUCGCAAUGUAUUUGCUCCGAAUUGCUGUUGCACUGCUGCAAAUGCUUGGUGGAAUAGCUGGGGUCAACAGCCUUAAAAACAAUUGAAGCGGCUGAAAGAGCGGCUGAUGCCUCGGCUGCAGCCUCAGUUCCUGGCGAAUUUGGAGUUAUCUUGUAGAGUGUUCGAGGAGUGUCCAUAUCUUCAGGACGUUCCCAGCAUUGAUGAUCAGCAUUUCCAUCCCCAACCUACGAUAGUAUCAGAAAAAUAAAAUAAAAAACAAAAAAAAUACUUCAAGACUUUUAGAUAUAACUCCGAUGCUACCAAUAAGCCAUCACAAAUCAUAUGGAAAAGAGAGACCACCUGGGUGUAAAAUGCUGUGGAUGAAGUAUGACAUUCCAGAAUGAAGUUAGUGCCCCAACGGAUUGCGGUGUGGAGAUAACCCAGCUGGUUGACAGAAGAUAUCUCUUUCUGGCUUGCCAUCGGAGAGAGCAGAAUUUCCCCUCCAUUUUACUCGCUGGUCGGAAGGCAGUUCCCCAGAACGUUGCCCUUCAAAAAACAAUAUCGCCUUGCCAAGGGCAUCACCAUAGCUAGUAGCUCUGGAGCAUGGCUC